GUGCUCGCUCUGUCCCAGUGUUGGCCUCAGGCCCCUCUGGCUGCCUUGGUCUGCCGUCUGCUAAGCUCUCAGAGUGAUUGCGGACAAGGGAAGCCCCAGGGACCCUAAAGCCCCCUCCUGCCACCAUGCUCUCCGCCGC
ensembl:miRNA